AAUGAACGCUGGCGGCAGGCCUAACACAUGCAAGUCGAACGAGUGGCGGACGGGUGAGUAAUGUCUGGGUAACUGCCCGAUGGAGGGGGGUAACCACUGGAAACGGUAGCUAAUACCGCAUAUCAUCGGAUGUGCUCAGAUGGGCUUAGCUUGUUGGUAAGGUAACGGCUGACCUAGGCAACGAUGCCUAGCGGGUCUGAGAGGAUGAACAGCCACACUGGAACUGAGACACGGUCCAGACUCCUACGGGAGGCAGCAGUAGGGAAUAUUCCGCAAUGGGCGCAAGCCUGAUGCAGCCAUGCCGCGUGUAUGAAGAAGGCCUUCGGGUUGUAAAGUACUGUCAGCGGGGAAGCGGUACCUACUGAGAAAGCACCGGCUAACUCCGUGCCAGCAGCCGCGGUAAUUC
rnacentral:rRNA from 1 species